GCCCUGAGGGCAGAGCUGCUCAGAGGGCACAAGAGCUGAGGGGCAGCACCUGGGCCCAGCCCACAACUGUGCUGAGCCCAGGCCUGGUUGGAAGCGCUGUCCCCUUGGUGGAAACUAUUAAGGCCAGUCCUGAGCAAAGAGUAAGCCUUUCUUCCUCAGGUAGCUCCUCAGGAAAAGGCUGAGGUACUUAGGCUUUUUUUUUCACCCAGCCUCCCCUGUAGGUUGAGGACACUGAGCACCCCUGUGGCUGUGCACAUAUGCUGUGAUGUGAAGAAGAGUCUUGGGCCUGCAAAUGAUCAUGAGCUUGGAUAAGAUGUUCUUACUAUAUCAAAUUGGCUUCUGAAAGUUAAAAUCUGUUGAAUUUGGUGUACAAAAAUAAUGAAGUUUGAGAACCUAGAUGAUGGCAAGCUUAAAACAAAGUUAUGAUCCAUUUUUUGCUAUUUUUUCAAUGGGGAUUACUAUUUAUUGAUAGAAGAACUCAGUCAUAAAAUGAUUAUUAUACAACUUGAAGAAGCAACAUCAAUAUGUUUGUUAACAAAACCCAGACAAUGACGUUUGAUUCUGAGAACAGUGCAACUAUUUACACUGUCAUUAGUCUUUGUGUGUAUGUUAUGAGAACAAAUAUAUGAAACGCACAUGAUAUGGAAUAAGUUUUUUGCUAUGCCCAAGACAAAUAUGUUGUGUGUAUGUUCAAUCUGUGUUUCCUUAAUAUAGAGCUUGCAGAAAACUUCUGUUCAUGGGAAUCUACUUCUCAUAGUUGGUGUUGAACCUAAUUUAGCAGCGAUGACUUUAAAAGACUGACUCAAAUACAAAAACAAAUCAACUUGUUUGCCACUUGGGAGAAAUUCAAGGGAAAGAACAGGAUCCAGCACCAAGAAAUGAACAGAAAAUGGCUCUGAAAAAAGAGGGAACAGGAAUGAAAAAAAUAAAGCAUGCAGCUUGAGUAUUCCUAUAUUUGUGACAGCAUACUUUUGGAACAGAGAGGGCUGUGCUUCCUCUGUAAGUAGCUAUUGCAUUGCCUUUCAAAGAGGAGCUAGUUAUAAACAGAAACAUACAAAACAAAAUAACUUAUGUAGGUAAAGCAGGCAACUUAAAAAACAGAUGCACACUGUUUCAUUAUACAGGGUGGAAAUACUUGUGAAUAUUCCUGACAUACAAGAUAUUCUUAAAAUUGGGCCGAAGUGAUGCCUUCGCGAAAGUGCUUUCAGUAAACUUAAGCAGAUCCAUUUAAGAUUGGUUAUACAACUUAGAGAAGCAAAAGCAUUAUAUUUUGUUUUUCUCCAAAUGUUAAUAGAGCUAAUGUGCCACCGUUUUCACAUCAGGACAUCACAUGCUUAGUUUGCCUUUACUAGCCAGAACAAAGAAAAUGGGUAGCUACAUAACGUGAAUGAUGUUACUGAAUUCAGGUUGUGUGCCUAGAAUAGCUUGUUAUAUGUAACUUUAGUUCCUUGGAAGUUAACAGUCUUGAAAGCCUUUCUUGGUGUUGAGGAACUCCUUUGGAUAAAAGGCCAAGCUGUUCAUUAACUUAUAUGAGGCAUAGCUUCUCUGAAAAAGUUUCACUUGCUUUACUUCAGUUUUCUGGCGGCUUCUAUGCUUCAUCAAAUUUUUUUACACAUGGAUGCAAUUGUAAUUCCUAAACGUUCAUGGAACUACUGUGGAGAGAAGAAAUACAGUAAGUUUGGGGAUUGCUUUUCAUGUGGAGUAUCCAUUAAUUGUAAAAUUCUAAUAACACAAUGAGAGUUGAUUAGCUGGUUGAUUAGUUAUCUUCUAAAGGAUCAUUAAUGUAAACAUCUGGGGAAACAAGCAGUGCAUCUCCUGAAUGCAUCUGCAAGAAGUGGAAAGCAGCAUUGAAUGUCUGUCCUGCCUGAAUCUAGAGACUUUUACUGCCCGUUACCAUUUUCCUGUAGUUGGUCCCAGCUUCUUAAAUGGGGUUCUGGCCAUAUCUGGCAUUGUAAUUAUUUAAUAUGCCACCUAUGUUCCUGGUGCUAUGGUAAGAAUUCUGAUGUCUAAAACUUGAAAGACCUCUUCCUGUGAGCUUUAGCUCCUAGUGGAUUAGAUUGAAAACAAUUUAAUGCAGGUGUAGGCCUUAAAAUGUGGAUGGAAAAGCUCAAGGGAAAUAAGAGAUCCACUAUGUUUCCAUAGGGGAAAUUGCUAAACUGGAAUGAAAUUAAGCAUUGUAUCACAAGAUAUCUUUGUGAAUAUGCAUUUAAAGUACUCUUUAACUUGUAUACGUAUAUUCUGGUAAUGUGGGUACAGAUGUAGUCUGCUAUACAGCUUUCUUUAUUAAGCAAAUGUGUUUUUUUCGGGGGGGGGAUCUAAUGUUAUGUUCAUAAAGACGGCUUUGCUGUAAAGCUGACUCUGGGAAUUUAGGACAUGUUUGUUUAUUAAUGGUAUACUUUGUACUAUGUAUAUAAAGAAAGGCCAUCAAAAAGUGUAUUUCUGAUUUGUAGCUUGAAGUACAGAUCUUUAAUAAAGUUUGUUUCUGUGCCAAAUAUUUGCUCAUAAAGAUAUAUGGGUUUGUGGGCAGUUCAGAUAUUCUGAGAUUAAACUAGUGAAAGGAGGCAGGCUUGACUGCUUUGUUUAUUAAUACACAAAAGCACUGUCUGAAAAUUUUA